rnacentral:snRNA from 1 species
GGAUGUGAGGGUGAUCUGGCUGCGAUAUCUAUCACCCCAUUGAUCGACAGGGUUGAUUCAGCUGAUCUGGCUGUCUAGGCAGGUGUCCCCUUCCUCCCUCACUGCUCCAUGUGUGUCCCUCCCGAAGCUGCGCACUCAGUCAGAGUGGACAGCCUUUCCUGAAUAGAGACAAACCGGUCUUCAGUCGAGUGUAUACGAGUAGCUGUGCUCCCCUGCUAGAACCUCCAAACAAGCUCUCAAGGUCCAGUAGUGGGGAUGGGUUUAAAUAUGAUAUUUAUAGUCUUGAUUUUCACUUUCCAG